rnacentral:misc_RNA from 1 species
AAAGUCGUAACAAGGUUUCCGUAGGUGAACCUGCGGAAGGAUCAUCGUUGGUGUUUUUGUGUCUGUGGGCACUGACAGUUUUUCUUUCGAAUCCCAACCAAGAGGAGCGGAGUUGACUGAGGUUUGCGUGGAGGGAGAAAAGGACAAAACUUUCAACAACGGAUCUCUUGGCUCUC